rnacentral:lncRNA from 1 species
UUUUUUUUUUUUUUUUUUUAUGACCCCAUACUGCUGUCCAUGAAAUGGAUGCAGUACUCUGAAAUCAGUAAAUUCAAUCAAGUCAAAUGUAUGUUUUGAAAAAAGUCAAGAAUGAAGAAAUAGAGUUUGAAGAACAUUCAACAUUCAUGAGGUGUGCCCAUUUCAGGUCACUGGAGACAUUUCUCUGGUGCAAAGGUUUUCCUAAUAAAGGGUUUCAUUGGCCAGUUGGAUCGAGACAUGAACACACUGAUAUUUUGCUUCUAGCAAUACCUUAAACCCCCAGUUAGGUAAGUAUAAAAAACGGCAAUGGCCUUGAGAGUGCAGCAUGGUUUAUACAUGGCAUACACAUCUUUGAGGAUUUGGAGAAAUCUACAAGGGAUCCAAUGCUUUUCCACCUAUUGACAUUUACAAAGCAGUUUAAAUCAUGCAUGAGAGGCCUCAGGCACAUGCAGUUCACAAAACAUAACUCUGAGCUCCCAGGGAAUUUAAGCUGACCAACACUCUUUAUUAGAACCGACAGUGAAAGACAGCUAUUGCGAAAUUCGUACCAGAAAUGCAAUACCAAGAUGACAGCCUUAAUGCCAGUGGAUAUAUUAUGUAGAUUACCUGACUCAAAUCUUUCUUGUUAAAUAAGUUUCAUGCAUUCUUUUUUUCUCCUCAAGAAUAUCCUUCUAGCUUCACUGGGGGAGUAUUCCUUAAGUUCCUUGAUCAUUCAUCUGUUUUUCAAUAUUUUGGACAUACUAACUUAGCACGAAAGAUCAGAUAGAGAUAUUUAAACAGUGGGAAACAGUUAAACCUUUAAAUGAACAACAGAGCUGAACCACAGAUUAAAUAUUUCAAUGCUAUUUUUUGUAUAAUGUUCCAAUAUUUAAUAGUUUUUAAAAAGAAACAUUUUCCUAAGGCUGAUCCAUUCCAGAUAUCCAAUUCCCAUGUAAUCUAAGAUUACACACAUACCAAAAUGUAAUUAUACAUUAAAGAUACUUUCACCUGCAUGCUUUUACAGGACAGGAAUUUCAAGGAAAUAAGUUCCCAAUACAAGCUGGCCAGGGACAAAAGACAAGAAAUAUACCUUUCCUCUCCAAUCUUCAUAGAAAUUGAAAUACAAUGUAGAUGUUUUCAAUCCUGCUUGACUAAGAGACUGAAGGAAGAGGUCAACAUGACUAAGACCAGAAAAGGAAGUCUGUGGGUAAUUUGGCACUGGUGACAAUUGGCCCAAAGGCAAAUUUGGCAGAGGCUAAAUUAGAGUGAAUUAUUUGGAGGUUUCUUGGUUUCUGAAUGGAUCGGAUUAUUUGCUUCAUAUUCUGGACCUUCCAAGCUGCCUCAACCUUAUGCACCCAGUGUUAAAUGUUAUCAGUACUUAAAUGGCAGCACUGUCGUCUUCCUUUUCUAAGCAACACAGUCACAGUAAAUUAAAGCAACUCCAUACAUGCUUCUGUAGUUAAGGUUCACAUCCCUUGGAAUGUGCUCAAUUUUUGUGUACAGUAUGUAUCAAGCUACC